rnacentral:rRNA from 1 species
GAUCCUGGCUCAGGACGAACGCUGGCGGCGCGCCUAACACAUGCAAGUCGAACGAGAGAGAAGGAGCUUGCUUCCUCAAUCGAGUGGCGAACGGGUGAGUAACGCGUGAGGAACCUGCCUCAAAGAGGGGGACAACAGUUGGAAACGACUGCUAAUACCGCAUAAGCCCACAGCUCGGCAUCGAGCAGAGGGAAAAGGAGCAAUCCGCUUUGAGAUGGCCUCGCGUCCGAUUAG